rnacentral:misc_RNA from 1 species
UGUCAGAUUCAGCUGAGGUGGAGUGAACAGCUAAAAUAAUAAAAAAAGUUAAUUAAAUUAUUUUAAAUUUAAAAUUAAGAUAUAUUAAAUUAUUUUAAUUUUAAAAUAAAAAACUUAAUUAUUACAAAUUAUAAUUAACCCGAAAAACAAUAAUUUUUUCUGAUAAUAGUUUAUUAGAUAUAUUCCUUCCUUCUCUGUUGCUUUUGCUAUAAUACGCAAGUGCCUGGGUUUCGUUCUUCUUUGGCCUCUGGGUUAUCAUAAGUUGCCUGCUCCUUCUCCGGGCAUAGCUCAGUGGCUGCUUCAUGAAGUGUGUGGGAUCACUUAUCACCGUAGCUCUGUAGUGUAGGUUUCCUCUAUCUUCUUUUGAAAAAAAAAAAGAAAAGCGAGAGAAGAGGAGAGGGAGAGCUGAGGGGAGCCAAUCCUUUUUCUCUUGAAUUUGCGAAGUCACAAAGGUGCAACAUUUGCAGCUUAAGCUUUAAUGGUGGUUUGAGCUGCGGUGAUUUGGAGGGUUUUAUUUUGGCAAACUAUGGAUCCAAAUUCGAAGAGGAAGAAGGAAUCGCCACCCGAGACAAGUCGGUCAUCUCCAUUUCCGGACGAGGUACUGGAGCGGAUUCUGGGUCUUUUGAAGUCUAACAAGGACCGGAGUUCGGUUUCUCUAGUAUGCAAGGAUUGGUACAACGCGGAGAGCUGGUCGCGCACUCAUGUUUUUAUCGGCAACUGCUACUCCGUUUCUCCCGAGAUCGUCGCUCGUCGUUUCCCGAAAAUCCGGAGCGUUACUCUCAAAGGAAAACCCAGAUUCUCGGAUUUCAAUUUGGUCCCUAGGAAUUGGGGUGCCGACAUCCAGUCUUGGCUUGUCGUUUUUGCCUCCAAGUACCCAUUUCUAGAAGAACUUAGGCUUAAAAGAAUGACUGUCACUGACGAGAGCUUGGAGUUUUUGGCUCUCAACUUUCCAAACUUUAAAGCUCUAUCCCUUCUGAGCUGCGAUGGGUUUAGUACCGAUGGGCUUGCAGCCAUUGCUACUCAUUGCAAGUAAGGAUUUUUUCCCCCUUAUUUAAGUUUCUUUGUUUGCUUUGCAGUUUUUGUUUAAAAUUUUGUGUUUCAUGUUAUUAACUUAGUAUUACUACUUGUGGAUUUGCAUUUGUUGUUUCUGUUAUUGUUUUGAGAUCCAGGAUCUGUUUAAGAGUAUUAGACAAAAGUUUUGAUUGGAUUGUUGUAUUUUUGUUUUUGAGAUUGUGAAAUAAGUGGGCUGGUUUCUGGUUUCUGCUUGUAAAGGUAUCAGUGAAAAACGAUAGAAGUGGUUCUACUAUUAUGUGCUUACUUUUUUUGUUAACUCUAAUUUCUUUUCUUGAUGUGACGUUUGACCUGUUAGGAGCAUUUAAUGUAUUAUGGCAUAUAUUUGAUGUCAUUAUCCGCUCAAAUAUAUUAUUCUU